GGCCAUUUGAGGAUUAAAUUUCGAACACGCGUUCAUCCAAUGUCAGUGUAUGAUGAUCGAGCGUGCAACAAGUUUUCGCUGUGUCUGCGAUCGCUCGAGCGUUUUCAUCGAUUUUGGCCGCGAUCCCAUCACGAAGAUAGGUUAAACCAUCGUAUUCGCGAUCAGCGUUCGAAAUCGCGACGUUUUGCAGUUUAGAGCAACAUAAAGUCUGAGAUCCCGAGAGUAGGAAAGAUAGUCCAAUAACUCCCUUUUUGCCAAAAAUUACUUCACAAUGACGUCCGAAUGCGUGAAUAUAUUGUCGUGCAGAAGACAUGCCAACUACCCGCGGUCAGCAAAGUUUGGUCACGUAUGUCGAAUUCUCAGCAGUGCCGCUCUAUCAGUUGUACUUUUGCCGAGUUUACAAUAGAACUUGAUGUUUGUGCGCUGCUCCAAUUUUAAUGCUUUCGGCAUGAUGCUGCUAUGCACAUGCACGCGGAAAACAGA
rnacentral:lncRNA from 13 species